CGUGUAGGCGGUCAGGUAAGUGGAAUGUGAAAUGCCCCGGCUCACCCGGGGACCGGCAUCCCAAACUGCCUGGCUUGAGUAUGGGAGAGGAUGGAGGAAUUCCUGGUGUAGCGGUGAAAUGCGUAGAUAUCAGGAGGAACACCGGCGGCGAAGGCGUCCAUCUGGCCCAAUACUGACGCUGAGGCGCGAAAGCUAGGGGAGCAAACGG
rnacentral:rRNA from 1 species